AUUGAACGCUGGCGGAAUGCUUUACACAUGCAAGUCGAACGGCAGCACGGACUUCGGUCUGGUGGCGAGUGGCGAACGGGUGAGUAACAUAUCGGAACGUAUCAAUAAUGGGGGAUAACGAGUCGAAAGAUUCGCUAAUACCGCAUACGCCCUACGGGGGAAAGCUGGGGACCUUCGGGCCUGGCGUUAAUGGAGCGGCCGAUAUCUGAUUAGCUAGUUGGUGAGGUAAAGGCUCACCAAGGCGACGAUCAGUAGCUGGUCUGAGAGGACGACCAGCCACACUGGAACUGAGACACGGUCCAGACUCCUACGGGAGGCAGCAGUGGGGAAUUUUGGACAAUGGGCGCAAGCCUGAUCCAGCCAUUCCGCGUGAGUGAAGAAGGCCUUCGGGUUGUAAAGCUCUUUCGCAAGGGAAGAAAACUUAGCCACUAACAUUGGUUGAGGCUGACGGUACCUUGAUAAGAAGCACCGGCUAACUACGUGCCAGCAGCCGCGGUAA
rnacentral:rRNA from 1 species